rnacentral:rRNA from 1 species
GACGAACGCUGGCGGCGUGCUUAACACAUGCAAGUCGAACGGAAAGGCCCUGCUUUUGUGGGGUGCUCGAGUGGCGAACGGGUGAGUAACACGUGAGUAACCUGCCCUUGACUUUGGGAUAACUUCAGGAAACUGGGGCUAAUACCGGAUAGGAGCUCCUGCUGCAUGGUGGGGGUUGGAAAGUUUCGGCGGUUGGGGAUGGACUCGCGGCUUAUCAGCUUGUUGGUGGGGUAGUGGCUUACCAAGGUUUUGACGGGUAGCCGGCCUGAGAGGGUGACCGGCCACAUUGGGACUGAGAUACGGACCAGACUCCUACGGGAGGCAGCAGUGGGGAAUAUUGCACAAUGGGCGGAAGCCUGAUGCAGCAGCGCCGCGUGCGGGAUGCCGGCCUUCGGGUUGUAAACCGCUUUCGCCUGUGACGAAGCGUGAGUGACGGUAAUGGGUAAAGAAGCACCGGCUAACUACGUG